GCGGGGUUGGCGGAAUUGGUAGACGCGCUAGAUUCAGGUUCUAGUUUCCUUAUGGAUGUCCGGGUUCAAGUCCCGGACUCCGCA
rfam:Richelia intracellularis HH01, WGS project CAIY01000000 data, contig: 00009